UACGUAGGGGGCGAGCGUUGUCCGGAAUUAUUGGGCGUAAAGAGCGUGUAGGCGGCCAGGUAGGUCUGCUGUGAAAACUCGAGGCUCAACCUCGAGACGUCGGCGGAAACCAUCUGGCUAGAGUCCGGAAGAGGAGAGUGGAAUUCCUGGUGUAGCGGUGGAAUGCGCAGAUAUCAGGAGGAACACCGAUGGCGAAGGCAGAUCUCUGGGCCGUAACUGACGCUGAGGAGCGAAAGCGUGGGGAGCGAACAGG
rnacentral:rRNA from 1 species